UACGGAGGGUGCAAGCGUUAUCCGGAUUCACUGGGUUUAAAGGGUGCGCAGGUGGCUGGGUAAGUUUGAUGUGAAAGCCCCGGGCUUAACCCGGGAACGGCAUUGAAUACUAUUCGGCUGGAGGAUUGGAGGGGGGACUGGAAUUCUUGGUGUAGCAGUGAAAUGCGUAGAUAUCAAGAGGAACACCAGUGGCGAAGGCGACUUCCUGGCCUGUUCUUGACGCUGAGGCGCGAAAGCUAGGGGAGCAAACGGG
rnacentral:rRNA from 1 species